rnacentral:misc_RNA from 1 species
AAAACAUUUAUGGUUACUAUGAUUUAUCAAGUGGUGUGGUGGAAAAUGCGAUGAUUAUUAUUACGGACAAUGUGAUUCGGUAGUUUUUUAGUUAUCACUUUGGUAGUUUGUAGUUUUCAAAUUUUCAUCUAAUCAUCACUUCACUCCUGUACACAUACACGUACAGGUGCCCCUCAUCAAUUGAUGUGCCAUAGAUAUACCAGCUCCUGUGAUAUUUAACCUGUUGCAUUGCCUGUCUGACGCUCAAGUCAAAAAUCAUUUAAAUUGCUAGUACUGACUAGUAUUUUUUGACUCUGAUAAGGAUGUCGACUUGCACUGACGACGCCGAUAACUCAACUCUUCAUAUACAGGACACCACCAUGUCCCCGGUUCAAGAAGGACCGAUAUCUCCCGCGUCAUCCUGUCUGAGCAACCAAAAUCAAAAUGACGAAGUGCUUUUAGCGACAAUGCAACCAGUCAAUGUGAUGGAUCUCCACGAAACAGAGCACAUACACCACAAGUACAAUCAGCACCACCAGCAGCGGCACCACCAGCAUCAUCCGCACCAUCACCACCACCACCACCACCACCACCAUCACCACCAAGAGGAGGAGGAGGAGGAGGAGGAAAACGGUCGUAGUCCUCAGUCAAGUCCCUCGACAGGCUUAGGACACAAAAUGAUCGACUUGAUCUAUAACGAUGGCCAAAAAACCGUGAUGUACACCCACGACAAAGAAAUAAUCUAUGAGAGUGAAGCAGAUCGGGUCCAGGUAGUCGAAUAUCCUCCUCCGAAUCCUUCACCAUCUCCACCAGCGACCCCUCAAUCGACGCGAAAUCUCGUAAACGUGAGACACGCGGUAACCACCAACGUAGGAAAUACCGCGACCCUCCACCUUCAUCACUAUCCCCAGCUUCAGCUUCAUCAGCACGACGAAGAUGACCUUCCUCGAGGAGCAGCACCUUCUGGUGCUGUCAAUGGAAAUUCUGUUCCUACCAAUACUACGACAACUGUUUUGGUUUUGUCGGAACUUGUCGCUGCUGAUCCGUCGACCGCUUCUGCGGAACUUGGUUUAACAACUUCUGGACCUACCGCAACUCUUCGUACCGGUAGACGUAGUCGUUCUUCAUCAGACUGCGAAUCAAGCGUGGUUGGCGUAUCAGAGCAGUACGGGACGGCAGUAGGCCGUGAGUCAACAGAGGAAGAGGGUAAUCAUCAUCACCAACAGCAUCACGAAAACCAGGUUGACCCUGAGGACCCAGAAGAAGCUUCAAAACGUGUCGCUGCCGUUCAGGUUCAAGUCCAGGGCAUGGAGGGCGACUGGAGGGCGUACUGCGAGCAUCCGCUUUCAGUAGCUACCGCGGCCAUGCUCAACCUCCAGCAGCAGCACCAGGUCUCAGCGGUUUCUGGACACCCUGACGAGCAAAACGUUCCCUACGUCUACGAAUACUACAAGUUGCCCGAGAAGUCUUCUGAGGUUAAAUUACCGCCAACUCACGAGUUAUGGUCAACCGGAGUUAUGGGCCAGAAACUCCUUGUCGAGAGCGCCGGCUCUCGACUAGAGAAUUCGGAGAACGGAAGCGGUGAACUCCACCAUUUUCUGCACCAAUAUAAUCAGCAGUCGCCGAGUCCAAAUCAAAAUCUUCAAGGAAACAUCCCUUUGCCCCUCAGCCCUCAAUCUUUGAGACACGACGGUUCUUCGGGAAUCGGUAUCAAAAGGGAACCUGAGGACCUUAGUUCUUCACGUGGUGCUCAGCAGUCUAAACGGCACAAACAGGCUCAGCCGGAUAGUCCGACGCCCCCGGGAAUGUAUCAUCAUCAUCAGCAGCAGCAGCAGCAGCAGCAGCAACAGCAGCAACAGCAGCAUCAAUUACAGGUCCAACAGUACGGAAGCCCCUACGAUCCAUACUCAGCGUGCAGUCCGCGGCUAUCAACCUACAACUCUGGUUCAAAUGCCAGCGGAAGUGCGACGCCAGGUCUUCAUCAAGGGGAAGGAAACACCGUCUACGUAACCAGCGAAGCUCUUCCACCUCUAGCGUCCUCAAGUUCAGCUGCACUUUCCACGACAACGACGUCCUACACCAGGUACGAGGUGGUGCCCAGUUCGUACACCACCCACGCAAUAAGGUCCUCAUCCAGCAGCAGCAAGGUCCUCACCGUAGACCUUCCAAGUCCCGAUUCUGGGAUUGGGGCUGACGCAGUAACUCCAAGACAGGACCACCAUCCUCCGACAGCUUUGCACCAGUCCUCAUUCGACUACACUGAGCUGUGUCCCAGCAAUAACAAUAAUGCAACGACAGUGGUCCUUGAAAGUGGAGCUGUUGUUCAUCAUCAACCUCUCCAGCUCCAAUUACAACAGUCUCACAAUCAGAGCCAGGUCCAGCGGGGACUGGUAAAUCCUUCAGCUUCAGCUUCACCAUCUACUACUCCAAAUCCUCCUAGAUCCAGACCUUGGCACGACUUUGGGCGCCAGAAUGACGCAGAUAAAAUUCAGAUACCAAAAAUUUAUUCAGCGUAUGGGUUCAAGUAUCAUCUGGAGUCACCGAUAAGCACGUCACAGCGACGGGAGGAUGACAGAAUAACGUAUAUUAAUAAGGGUCAAUUUUACGGAAUCACUUUAGAUUAUGUUCCCGAUCCAGACAAACCGCUUUUGAAAACCGGACAAACUGUUAAGAGUGUUGUAAUGUUAAUGUUCCGUGAAGAAAAAAGCCCAGAAGACGAAAUAAAAGCUUGGCAAUUUUGGCACGGUCGGCAGCAUUCAGUGAAGCAACGGAUUCUUGAUGCGGACACGAAAAAUAGCGUUGGAUUGGUUGGCUGUAUCGAAGAAGUCGCUCAUAAUGCCAUUGCUGUGUAUUGGAAUCCAUUAGAAUCUUCAGCAAAGAUAAACGUCGCUGUACAGUGUUUAAGCACGGAUUUUUCAAGUCAAAAAGGUGUAAAAGGAUUGCCGUUACAUGUCCAAGUGGACACAUAUGAAGAACCACCUUCACAUUCUCAUUCAUACACGCCACCUUCUCAUCGUGGUUACUGUCAAAUAAAAGUUUUUUGUGAUAAGGGUGCCGAAAGAAAGACACGCGACGAAGAGAGAAGAGCAGCCAAGCGUAAAAUGACUGCUACAGGCAGGAAAAAGCUUGAUGAAUUGUAUCACUCUGUUACUGAACGCAGUGAAUUUUAUUCAAUGGCUGAUCUUCAUAAACCACCGGUAUUAUUUUCACCACCCGCUGAGCACGCACUUGACAAGCAGUUUUCAACAAUGGAAUUAUCAGGGUUCUACGGCGCAGGAAAUGGCGGUGGUGACACAGACACCUCAUCGCUCAGCAACGGUGAGGGCGGAAUGAAAACAGGAACCAGUAGUCCGUACCCAGGAUGCGGAAGACCAAGUCUUCCAGCUUUGAAAUUUCACAACCACUUUCCUCCAGACAAUCUCACUGGAAUCCACGAUAAAAAAGACUCGCUGCUGAUGCAAGUACAGGAAUUGCAGGGCACCGUUCUUCAAGGAGUUCCUCCAGGUGCUUUGACCUCCACUGCAGGAACUCUCGUCUCCAGUGUCAGUAAUCGUCUGCAUCUUCAGCACCAGACUCAGCAAUCUCACCUCCGUGGAAACGAUUCUGAAGAACGGGUUAUGCUUUAUGUUAGACAAGAAUCUGAAGAUGUCUACACGCCGCUACAUGUCACGCCUCCAACCGUCCAAGGACUCCUCAAUGCUACUUGCAGCAGAGAAAACUGGAUUUUGGAGCAGUGAUUAUCGGUCACCAUUAAUACGUUUUUUCCUCGAGGUUGCAAGCAUCCAAGCUCCAAUUUUCUCUGCUCAUUAGACGGAAUCACGGCGAAAAUUGACGAUGACAUGAUCCGCCAUUACGUCGACGAAGACUUAUUCCUAUUGGAAGUGAGUCACUCAACGACACCGGCUAAUCCGGAAUGUAAUCAAAGCAAUCCAGGGUCAC